rnacentral:rRNA from 1 species
CGGGUGGAGCCGCAAUGUCGCUCGUCCCGGGGCAUUCAGCCCGCUUCCCGCCGCCGGGCCUCCCUGGAUUCAAGCGGUGCGCGCUCUUCGGAGUGCGUGCCCGCCGGGGUACGGACUAAAAAUCCGGUGGCGAGACGGGUGCACUUGCUCCGGUCGUCGAGAGCCACGACCGGUUCCUUCGCAGGCAGUGUGGACUCCCUUGGUCGGGCUAACGGCGGGUCGAACGUCGUCCCUAUUGCUGGGCUUCGAUCGCCUGCUCCGACCGGGAGGGAAACUGGCCUGGGGACCGAGGACUGCAUCUGGCUGGCGUCUCCGUUACUCUCGAGCCGUGCGCCCUUGUCGGCCCCUUCGGGGUGGUCAGGCAAGACGGGCGCGAGGACGCAUCGGGAGGGAGCGGACGGCGUGUCG